CGGACGGGUGAGUAACGCGUGGGUAACCUGCCUUGUACUGGGGGACAACAGUUGGAAACGACUGCUAAUACCGCAUAAGCGCACAGCUUCGCAUGAAGCAGUGCGAAAAACUCCGGUGGUACAAGAUGGACCCGCGUCUGAUUAGCUGGUUGGUGAGGUAACGGCCUACCAAGCCGACGAUCAGUAGCCGACCUGAGAGGGUGACCGGCCACAUUGGGACUGAGACACGGCCCAA
rnacentral:rRNA from 1 species